AUGACGUUUUUUCACCACUUGCAGGCAAUGGUGAUUUUCACUUACAUAGAGUACUAAUUUGAUUAAGGAAAAAUCAUGUUCAUUCAUAAUUUUCAUUUUAAAAGUGUAUUCAUUCCUUCUGCAAAUCCAUACUGUCAUGCCUAUUCCCCAAUAUCGUCAACGCGGAUAGUUCGUUAGUCGAAAAUACUGAAUAAUUAAACAAGCCAAAUGGCAUCACUGGUGGUUCUUUUUUCCACUCCGCUAAACUGUCAUCUCAAACAAAAACAAAUGGAUCAUACAACUGCUAUGAAUACAUUCGACUCUUUUGCUUGCAUCAAUCGGUAAGUGAGAAAGAUGAUUUCUCCCAUCUCCACAGUACGGAUUUCCACUUCUAUCACAGCAGCCAACAACAUCCGUUUUCCUGCAGCAGUAACCUCCAACCCCUGUUGGCAAUGCCGGGGGACAGCAUCAACAGCAGCAGCAGCAGAAUUUGACCAUGGUAUGGUAUUGCGAAGAACUUUCCCCAUUAGAGGUUCCGUGCUUCGCGCACAUUCAAAAUCCUCUUCAGACACGAAAACUCAACGACAAGGAGGUAUUUAUCAACUUGCUCAGCUGAAUUACCACCCGGAUGAACCCGAAUACACUGAUUCCGUUGUAUAGUAGAAUGAAAAUAGGCGAGGUAAGCGAACGUAAUCGCAUGAUAUUUUAAUGUUCGCAUUUUUAUCCGGAUCAUACAACUGCUGUGAAUACAUCCUCAAUCAAUCGGCGAGUGAGAAAGAUGAUUUCCCUCAUCACUACAUUGCUUAUUUCCACUUCUGUCACACCAGCCAACAGCAUCAGCUUUCCCGCAGCAGUAUCCUUUAAGUCCAGGCUGCUAUUCCGGGGAACAGCAUCAACAGCAACAGCAGCAGGACCUGGCCAUCGAUAGUAUUUCGAGCAAUUUUCCCCCUCGGAGAUCUCGUGCUUCACGCACAUUGAAGAAUCCUCCUCAGCCACAUAUCUGUGUCAUCAAGGGCAAGGAGGUAUUCAUCAAUGUACUCAGUCGGAUUUGAAUCGUCAAUCCAGACAACCCGGAUGCACCGAUUCCAUUAUAUACCUUAUUUUUAUUA